rnacentral:tRNA from 1 species
GGAGGCUUAGCAGGGGAAUACGCAGGUCAGCGGCAUGGUGUGGCACUAUGCGGCGCGGGGCGCGACCUGCAUGAUCAGUCUUGAAAAUUCGUGGGCCCCUCGCGGGUCCCGUGGGUUCGAAUCCCACCGCCUCCG